GAUGAACGCUGGCGGCGUGCUUAACACAUGCAAGUCGAACGAAGCAUUUACGACAGAUUUCUUCGGAUUGAAGUUGUUUAUGACUGAGUGGCGGUCGGGUGAGUAACGCGUGGGUAACCUGCCUUGUACUGGGGGAUAGCAGCUGGAAACGGCUGGUAAUACCGCAUAAGCGCACGGUGCUGCAUGGCACAGGGUGAAAAACUCCGGUGGUAUAAGAUGGACCCGCGUCUGAUUAGCUAGUUGGUGAGAUAACAGCCCACCAAGGCGACGAUCAGUAGCCGACCUGAGAGGGUGACCGGCCACAUUGGGACUGAGACACGGCCCAGACUCCUACGGGAGGCAGCAGUGGGGAAUAUUGCACAAUGGAGGAAACUCUGAUGCAGCGACGCCGCGUGAGUGAAGAAGUAAUUCGUUAUGUAAAGCUCUAUCAGCAGGGAAGAUAGUGACGGUACCUGACUAAGAAGCUCCGGCUAAAUACGUGCCAGCCGCCGCAGUAA
rnacentral:rRNA from 1 species